ACCGCGUGAGCUCAUCUGGUAGAGCAUCUGUUCGAAAAGCGGAGUGUUGCCGGUUCGAUUCCAGCUCGCGGUG
rnacentral:tRNA from 1 species